GCCCCGGUAGCUCAGUCCGGCUAGAGCGACGGGCUGCAGGCCCAGGUUGAGACCCGUAGAUACGAGGAAGUAGCGGAAAUCCCGGAUGGGGCUUCCCAGGGAAGGUUCAAAUCCCGGCCGGGGCU
rnacentral:tRNA from 1 species